rnacentral:rRNA from 1 species
AGAGUUUGAUCCUGGCUCAGGAUGAACGCUGGCGGCGUGCUUAACACAUGCAAGUCGAACGAAGCACUUUAUUUGAUUUCUUCGGAAUGAAGAUUUUGUGACUGAGUGGCGGACGGGUGAGUAACGCGUGGGUAACCUGCCUCAUACAGGGGGAUAACAGUUGGAAACGACUGCUAAUACCGCAUAAGCGCACAGGAUCGCAUGAUCCGGUGUGAAAAACUCCGGUGGUAUGAGAUGGACCCGCGUCUGAUUAGCCAGUUGGCAGGGUAACGGCCUACCAAAGCGACGAUCAGUAGCCGACCUGAGAGGGUGACCGGCCACAUUGGGACUGAGACACGGCCCAAACUCCUACGGGAGGCAGCAGUGGGGAAUAUUGCACAAUGGGGGAAACCCUGAUGCAGCGACGCCGCGUGAGCGAAGAAGUAUUUCGGUAUGUAAAGCUCUAUCAGCAGGGAAGAAAAUGACGGUACCUGACUAAGAAGCACCGGCUAAAUACGUGCCAGCAGCCGCGGUAAUACGUAUGGUGCAAGCGUUAUCCGGAUUUACUGGGUGUAAAGGGAGCGUAGACGGAUGGGCAAGUCUGAUGUGAAAACCCGGGGCUCAACCCCGGGACUGCAUUGGAAACUGUUCAUCUAGAGUGCUGGAGAGGUAAGUGGAAUUCCUAGUGUAGCGGUGAAAUGCGUAGAUAUUAGGAGGAACACCAGUGGCGAAGGCGGCUUACUGGACGGUAACUGACGUUGAGGCUCGAAAGCGUGGGGAGCAAACAGGAUUAGAUACCCUGGUAGUCCACGCC